GACGAACGCUGGCGGCGUGCUUAACACAUGCAAGUCGAGCGGUAAGGCCCUUUCGGGGGUACACGAGCGGCGAACGGGUGAGUAACACGUGGGUGACCUGCCUUUAGCUCUGGGAUAAGCCUGGGAAACUGGGUCUAAUACCGGAUACGACUCCGCGGUGCAUGCUGUGGGGUGGAAAGCCUUGUGCGGCUGGAGAUGGGCCCGCGGCCUAUCAGCUUGUUGGUGGGGUGAUGGCCUACCAAGGCGACGACGGUAGCCGGCCUGAGAGGGCGACCGGCCACACUGGGACUGAGACACGGCCCAGACUCCUACGGGAGGCAGCAGUGGGGAAUCUUGCGCAAUGGGCGAAAGCCUGACGCAGCGACGCCGCGUGAGGGAUGACGGCC
rnacentral:rRNA from 1 species